UGUAACACCCCGUUUUCCCAAUAUCAAAAUUUCUUUAAAAACAUAACAUUUAUCAGAGUAAACAUCAAACAACGGGAUAUCACAUAUAACGUAGUCCAACAGUUAAAUAAUAAUUUAACCAAUAUCUUAAACAUUGCAGCGGAAAAUCAUAAACAUAAUUCAUAUGAAAUGUUUUGGCACGCAGGCCCCAACAGAGUAUCUCAAAAGAGUUUAUCAAACAUAAAUUAUCAU
rnacentral:lncRNA from 1 species